ACCCUUUAAAUCUCAUAAAAAAGAGCCUAUAUUUAAGAUGUCAGGGAAACUUGACUAUAGUGAUAAACGUCUUACGGAAUAGACGUUUCGGACCCGGGGGCGGAACCCGGCACCUCCACCAUUAAAGAUUAAUUAUGGGGGUGAAUUAGGAUCGACGAGCGUAGUAAAGGUUGGAUUUUCACUCGGUAUGGUACCACCGUUAUCGGGCUAAACAUAUAAAUGCAAAAGAUAUGAAUGCAUUUGGUCGUAUGGCUGCUAACUUAAAUGCUAGCAACCACAAUUCUGGAAUCAAAGUAGCUAACGCUGCUUAAUUUUGGUUUGCGAUCGCGGUUUGAGGGGCACCGGGCAACAGAAGCCCCUCAUU
rnacentral:tmRNA from 1 species